rnacentral:rRNA from 1 species
UACGUAGGGUGCAGGCGUUAAUCGGAAUUACUGGGCGUAAAGCGUGCGCAGGCGGUUCGCUGUGUCCGAUGUGAAAGCCCCGGGCUUAACCUGGGAAUGGCAUUGGAAACUGGCGAGCUGGAGUGUGGCAGAGGGGGGUGGAAUUCCGCGUGUAGCAGUGAAAUGCGUAGAGAUGCGGAGGAACACCGAUGGCGAAGGCAGCCCCCUGGGUUAACACUGACGCUCAGGCACGAAGGCGUGGGGAGCAAACAGG